CAUAGGUUAAUGAGGCGAACCGGGGGAACUGAAACAUCUAAGUACCCCGAGGAAAAGAAAUCAACCGAGAUUCCCCCAGUAGCGGCGAGCGAACGGGGAGCAGCCCAGAGCCUGAAUCAGUGUGUGUGUUAGUGGAAGCGUCUGGAAAGGCGCGCGAUACAGGGUGACAGCCCCGUACACAAAAAUGCACAUACUGUGAGCUCGAUGAGUAGGGCGGGACACGUGGUAUCCUGUCUGAAUAUGGGGGGACCAUCCUCCAAGGCUAAAUACUCCUGACUGACCGAUAGUGAACCAGUACCGUGAGGGAAAGGCGAAAAGAACCCCGGCGAGGGGAGUGAAAAAGAACCUGAAACCGUGUACGUACAAGCAGUGGGAGCCUCUUUAUGGGGUGACUGCGUACCUUUUGUAUAAUGGGUCAGCGACUUAUAUUCUGUAGCAAGGUUAACCGAAUAGGGGAGCCGAAGGGAAACCGAGUCUUAACUGGGCGUUAAGUUGCAGGGUAUAGACCCGAAACCCGGUGAUCUAGCCAUGGGCAGGUUGAAGGUUGGGUAACACUAACUGGAGGACCGAACCGACUAAUGUUGAAAAAUUAGCGGAUGACUUGUGGCUGGGGGUGAAAGGCCAAUCAAACCGGGAGAUAGCUGGUUCUCCCCGAAAGCUAUUUAGGUAGCGCCUCGUGAAUUCAUCUCCGGGGGUAGAGCACUGUUUCGGCAAGGGGGUCAUCCCGACUUACCAACCCGAUGCAAACUGCGAAUACCGGAGAAUGUUAUCACGGGAGACACACGGCGGGUGCUAACGUCCGUCGUGAAGAGGGAAACAACCCAGACCGCCAGCUAAGGUCCCAAAGUCAUGGUUAAGUGGGAAACGAUGUGGGAAGGCCCAGACAGCCAGGAUGUUGGCUUAGAAGCAGCCAUCAUUUAAAGAAAGCGUAAUAGCUCACUGGUCGAGUCGGCCUGCGCGGAAGAUGUAACGGGGCUAAACCAUGCACCGAAGCUGCGGCAGCGACACUAUGUGUUGUUGGGUAGGGGAGCGUUCUGUAAGCCUGUGAAGGUGUGCUGUGAGGUAUGCUGGAGGUAUCAGAAGUGCGAAUGCUGACAUAAGUAACGAUAAAGCGGGUGAAAAGCCCGCUCGCCGGAAGACCAAGGGUUCCUGUCCAACGUUAAUCGGGGCAGGGUGAGUCGACCCCUAAGGCGAGGCCGAAAGGCGUAGUCGAUGGGAAACAGGUUAAUAUUCCUGUACUUGGUGUUACUGCGAAGGGGGGACGGAGAAGGCUAUGUUGGCCGGGCGACGGUUGUCCCGGUUUAAGCGUGUAGGCUGGUUUUCCAGGCAAAUCCGGAAAAUCAAGGCUGAGGCGUGAUGACGAGGCACUACGGUGCUGAAGCAACAAAUGCCCUGCUUCCAGGAAAAGCCUCUAAGCAUCAGGUAACAUCAAAUCGUACCCCAAACCGACACAGGUGGUCAGGUAGAGAAUACCAAGGCGCUUGAGAGAACUCGGGUGAAGGAACUAGGCAAAAUGGUGCCGUAACUUCGGGAGAAGGCACGCUGAUAUGUAGGUGAAGUCCCUUGCGGAUGGAGCUGAAAUCAGUCGAAGAUACCAGCUGGCUGCAACUGUUUAUUAAAAACACAGCACUGUGCAAACACGAAAGUGGACGUAUACGGUGUGACGCCUGCCCGGUGCCGGAAGGUUAAUUGAUGGGGUUAGCGGUAACGCGAAGCUCUUGAUCGAAGCCCCGGUAAACGGCGGCCGUAACUAUAACGGUCCUAAGGUAGCGAAAUUCCUUGUCGGGUAAGUUCCGACCUGCACGAAUGGCGUAAUGAUGGCCAGGCUGUCUCCACCCGAGACUCAGUGAAAUUGAACUCGCUGUGAAGAUGCAGUGUACCCGCGGCAAGACGGAAAGACCCCGUGAACCUUUACUAUAGCUUGACACUGAACAUUGAGCCUUGAUGUGUAGGAUAGGUGGGAGGCUUUGAAGUGUGGACGCCAGUCUGCAUGGAGCCGACCUUGAAAUACCACCCUUUAAUGUUUGAUGUUCUAACGUUGGCCCCUAAUCGGGGUUGCGGACAGUGUCUGGUGGGUAGUUUGACUGGGGCGGUCUCCUCCUAAAGAGUAACGGAGGAGCACGAAGGUUGGCUAAUCCUGGUCGGACAUCAGGAGGUUAGUGCAAUGGCAUAAGCCAGCUUGACUGCGAGCGUGACGGCGCGAGCAGGUGCGAAAGCAGGUCAUAGUGAUCCGGUGGUUCUGAAUGGAAGGGCCAUCGCUCAACGGAUAAAAGGUACUCCGGGGAUAACAGGCUGAUACCGCCCAAGAGUUCAUAUCGACGGCGGUGUUUGGCACCUCGAUGUCGGCUCAUCACAUCCUGGGGCUGAAGUAGGUCCCAAGGGUAUGGCUGUUCGCCAUUUAAAGUGGUACGCGAGCUGGGUUUAGAACGUCGUGAGACAGUUCGGUCCCUAUCUGCCGUGGGCGCUGGAGAACUGAGGGGGGCUGCUCCUAGUACGAGAGGACCGGAGUGGACGCAUCACUGGUGUUCGGGUUGUCAUGCCAAUGGCACUGCCCGGUAGCUAAAUGCGGAAGAGAUAAGUGCUGAAAGCAUCUAAGCACGAAACUUGCCCCGAGAUGAGUUCUCCCUGACCCUUUAAGGGUCCUGAAGGAACGUUGAAGACGACGACGUUGAUAGGCCGGGUGUGUAAGCGCAGCGAUGCGUUGAGCUAACCGGUACUAAUGAACCGUGAGGCUUAACCUUACAAC
rnacentral:rRNA from 1 species